CCUACGGGUGGCAGCAGUGGGGAAUAUUGCACAAUGGGGGGAACCCUGAUGCAGCAACGCCGCGUGGGUGAAGAAGUACUCCGGUAUGUAAAGCCCUGUCAGCAGGGAAGAAAAUGACGGUACCUGACCAAGAAGCCCCGGCUAACUACGUGCCAGCAGCCGCGGUAAUACGUAGGGGGCAAGCGUUAUCCGGAUUUACUGGGUGUAAAGGGAGCGUAGACGGCAAGGCAAGUCUGGAGUGAAAGCCCGUGGCCCAACCACGGGACUGCUUUGGAAACUGUGUUGCUGGAGUGCAGGAGGGGUAAGCGGAAUUCCUAGUGUAGCGGUGAAAUGCGUAGAUAUCUGGAGGAACAUCAGUGGCGAAGGCGACUAUCUGGCACAUAACUGACGCUGAGGAGCGAAAGCGUGGGUAGCAAACAGGAUUAGAUACCCGUGUAGUC
rnacentral:rRNA from 1 species